AUCCAUGUUUCUUUCUCUCCUCCUCCUCCCCCCCUCCUAUCUACUCUCUAAAAAAAAAAAAAGUUCACAACCGCAUGCAAGAGCAACCUGGAGAGACUUUGACAGCUCAGGUCAGCAUAAUACCUGCAGCUGCCACUUGCCUUUCCUAUAUCU
rnacentral:snoRNA from 1 species